CAGCUCGUCAGUCCACCUCCCACCCGAGUCUCCCCUUUACAAUCCACACAAUGUCAUUCUGUAACGUAGACUCUGCCACUUACAUCAGGUUUAGGAUAUGUAGGCGUCAGAUUCCCAGUGGCAUCAUGGGAAAACUGAACAAAGCUUUUGGAUAAAAACUCUCUGAUGACAAAAGAAGAAAUACACUGAUCACUCCACAAUAAUAGAAUUGUGUGACCUUAAGGUCAUCACUAGUACGUAAGGUCAUUACUAGUACGUAAGGUCAUUACUAGUACGUAAGGUCAUCACUAGUACGUAAGGUCAUCACUAGUACGUAAGGUCAUCACUAGUACGUAAGGUCAUCACCAGUACGUAAGGUCAUCGCCAGUACGUAAGGUCAUCGCCAGUACGUAAGGUCGCUAGUACGUAAGGUCACUACUACGUAAGGUCAUUGCUAGUACGUAAGGUCAUUGCUAGUACGUAAGGUCAUUGCUAGUAUGUAAGGUCACUAGUACGUAAGGUCAUCACUAGUACGUAAGGUCAUUGCUAGUACGUAAGGUCAUUGCUAGUACGUAAGGUCAUUGCUAGUAUGUAAGGUCACUACUACGUAAGGUCAUCACUAGUACGUAAGGUCAUCACUAGUACGUAAGGUCAUCACUAGUACGUAAG
ensembl:lncRNA